UUUUUUUUUUUUUUUUUUUUGCUUUUUAGGGCCACACCCACGGCAUAUGGAGGUUCCCAGGCCAGGGGUCUAAUUAGAGCUGUAGCCUCUGGCCUAUGCCAGAGCCACAGCAACGCAGGAUCUGAGCCACGUCUGCAACCUACACCACAGCUCACGGCAACGCUGAGCAAGGCCAGGGAUCGAACCUGCAGCCUCAUGGCUCCUAGUCGGAUUCGUUAACCAUGACAGGAACUCCAACAAACGCCCCCAAUUUUAUCUUCAGUUCCAGAUCCAGUUGUCUAUUUCGCCUCUCUCUGUAGGUGUCCCACAAACUCCUCAAAUCCAGUGUGUCUUGAACGAAACUCCUUACCUCCCUCCCACUAAAAUCGGUCCCUACUCAAAGUUCCCCUUAUCAGGAAGUGGCUUCUCUAUUGACCUCUCUGCCCAGGCUGAAAACCUGGGAGUCCUUCUUAACACCUCCCUUCCCCUCGUUCAGUUCAAUGUCAAGCCCUUUUCUGUGUACCUUCAAAACCAUCCCCAGUAAACCCGCUUCUUUCCACCUGUCUCCGUAACCAAAGCACGUUUCCUCUGGGCACUGCAAAGGUGUUUCUUCUAGGCUCACUCCUAACCCCAAGCCAUUCCUUUUACAGCAUUAAUGUGGUUAUUUCUAAGUACACUCUGAUCCCCUAACUCCCUAUUUAAAGACCUUUAGUGGCUUUCCAAUACUGUAUGGAUUAAAGUCUAAAAUACUCCAUGUGGCUUCCGAGGUGCUGCAUGACGGGGUCCUAUGGGAACAGCAGCUCUGGUCUUCAUUUAAUUUCUCACAUUUACUGCUCUAUUUGUAGCCUCACAGACUUAGAAAAAACGAAACAAAACUUUCCUCUCUCUGGAACACUCUUCUCACCAGUUUUCACCUGGCUACCACUACCUCCUAAUGACUUUUCAUUAAAAAUCUCCCUCCAAGUCAGUUGUUUCUUUAUUCGCUUUUGUAACAUCCAAUAAUGUCGCUUUACACAAUCAUGACUAGUUUAAAUUGUAUAUCAUUUUGUUUGAAUAUUUAAAUAAUAUCUGUCUCCCUCCACUAGACUAUAAGCUGCAUGAAGGCAGUGAUUAUGCAUGUUUUCUACUUCCCUCUGCUUCUAAUGCCUUUUGCAGAAGCUGUUAUGUAAAAAAAAAAAAAAAAAAAAAAGACUUGAUAAAUACCUUUGUAUUAAUUAACAAAUCCUAGUGUGUGUUCAUUGUUCUGCUAGCGGCCCACAUGCUGAGGCUCAGAACCUCAUACCCUCGUUUUUAACAAAGAAUUCACUUCACUUCUUUGUAGCAGGAUGUUAAAUUGGAAGUCUUACAUGAGUUACAAUUAUAUCGGCCACCAGGUGCAGAUAUACAAUUAAGACGCAACUUUUCAGAAGAAACGGUUAAGAAUCUGUGGCGUUGACUCUUGGAUCGUCUCACCCCACGAAAGAAAUGAAGAGACUUGUGUCAAGAAGCUCUUUGGGGAUGUGGUGCCAUGACAGGGGUUAAAUGAGAACACUCGACGGGCCUGAUAUACGUCCCCAGAGCUGGAUGUGGGGAAAGGGUACCACAGGGGACUGAUGUCUUAAUCCCACUCUGGAAAUCGAAAGAACAAAAGAAAUAAACUGGCUAGCUGCUUUGGGGGUAGAACAAAGCAGAUGCUUUCAUUGUUCGUCCAAGCAGCAAGAAACCAAUGUUGACAGAUCAAAGGAUACUGAAGAAAGAGUCAAAAUUGAGGGGGGUUUUUCAAAUACUUUCAAAAGAGUUCACCUAAAAGGAUGCUGAGACCUCAACAGAGAAAGUCUUGAGCUGGAUAACAGACUAAGGAGGAAUAAAGUUGGGCUAGAGAAAGAGACCCAGAUUGAGAAACUACAGAUGAGAAACUACCAGUGAUGGAAAGUCUCCAAAGAACUUAAAAAAGAGCCUCACAAAAGGAAAAGGAGAAAAUAUAUGCCUACAUCUCAGGUGCAGCAGUGCCUGUGAGGUAAGAAUUUCCACCCUCCUUAGGUCUCCUCACGCCUUGCUACACGCCCUCGUCUUACUCCAGGAGGGUCAGAUAUAAAAAGAGGGUCAGACCAACCACACCCUCUUUCCCCAAGCCUGGAGACUCAUCUACAAUCUGUCCCUGUCAGGUCGGACGUGUGGGGGGAAAGGUGACCACUGGAUGAAUUUGGAAGCUUUGACUAUCAUGUAGACAGAGACAUGUUUGAUCACUAGAUCGAAUCUCUUUGCGAUUUUCAGUAAUCAUAGAACUUUGCCUCUCCUAGAAAGGACCAGACAAGUUGUGAGACUUACCCUAGUUUGUACUGAUGGGGAAGGAAGGACUCCUACCACUGAGCAGGUGUAAAGAGAGUGGUAAAUAAAUAUAAAAGUGCUUUUAGAGCAAAUCCCAGGAGUCUUGCUUAUUCAUAGUAAUAGCCACAUUCAUAAUGCUAUGAGUAAAUAACCCUUUUGAAGAAAAGUGAAAGAGGUAUUUUAUGCUUAUGAUAGACUUACAAUAUUUGAAGUAAAUUAGGCUAACGGAAGAAGCAAAUAACCCUUCAAAAAUGUAUAGCACAAACACAAUGAACGCUUAUUUCUUGCUGGUUGGGUGAACAGCUGGCAAUUAUUCAAGGACCCAGACUAAUGGAAGCUUUGUCACUUUCUAGAAUUGGGUGUUGCUCUUCAGAGGUAUCCUUCCCACCUAGAAAAUAAAUGCACAGGAUGUGCCCAUGGGCAGUUUUCUUGGGCCAAGCCUGAGUGUGGCACGCGUUAUUCCAUGUCACAUUCUACUGCUGGACCCUGUCACACAGAUGCGCCUCCUAGCAGGAAAGGCUGGCAUCAUAAUCUCCCUGCCCAGGGAGAAGAGGAAAGCACAGGCUCCGUGAGACAAUAGCAGUUUAUGCCUCAUGGAACAUUAUAAAAUCAAUGAUAUGUUACGCUGAUGCUCACAGUCCUCAUAGGCCUGUGGAGAUAAAUGAGAUUACAUUAAUAUUUAUGUCUAAAUGUGCAAAGAACUGUGUAUCAACUGAUUGACUACCGAUCCUCAAUGCCCCCUGUGAAAGCUUAUGCAGGUUGCUUGUGGGAGUUCCAACAAAGUGCCUCAUGAGCUCCAAGAUAAUUCCAUUAAAAUGGUACCCUACACGGAAUCCCUCAUAGUAACAACAAAAGCAACAGCAAAUCAAUCAUAGCACACACUUGCUGAGAAUUUUCUACAUGUUAGUGACGGUUCUAAUUACCUUACAAGUGUCAUCUUCAAAUAUGAGACCCAUUUACCAGAUGAGAAAAUCAAGGCCCCGAAAGAUGAUGUAAUUUGUGCGAUGUCCCAGAGCUAGCUGAGUGCCACAGCAAGAUAUGAAUCCCUGCAGCCUGGCUCCAGAGGCUUCCUGCUGAAGCUCGAUAUCCUCCACCCUGCUAGUUUAACCCAAAGAAGCAAGGAUACCUGCGAUACGUGUGCUGUCUUACUCUGCCCAGGCUGCCGUAACAAAGUACCCCAGACUGCAUGCUUCAACAACAGACAUGUGUUUUCUCAGAGUUGUGGAGACUAGAACGUCCAAGAUCAGCUUUGCAGUGGAGUUCAGUUCCUGAUGAGAGUUCUCUUCUUGGCUUGCGUGGGGCCAGCUGUCCUCACAGGGUGGAAGGAGAGAGAGCAAGAUCCCUGGUGCCUCUCAUUUAUCGGGACCUCAGUUCCAUGGGAUCGCGGAUCAGGGCUCCACCUUUAAGAGCUCAUUUAACCUGAAUCGCCUCCUUAAGGACCUUAUCUCCAGGCAGUCACAUGAAGGGUCAAGGUGUCAAGAUAUGAAUUUGGGGAGGACACAUUCAGCCCAUAGCAGGUCUUCUCUCCUGGUGACUCUCAAACCAGAAAUCCUAGAGGUGCCUGAGCUGCAGAAAUUAUGAGAGCCCCUCUCCUGAGUCUCCUUUACCGCCUGGAUCCUAAGCAACUAGACGCAUGCCUAGAAUUUCACAAAGUUGCCCAAGAAAACUGGCCCUGCAGCCCUGUCUGUUGCAAGAUCAGUUUCAGCACCUCAUCGCACUUGAGCUUGAGCAGAGCAAGCAUUCUUCCCCUUUAAUUCUCAUUUGCCACCUACCCUUCCCCAGGGGAAAAUUCCUUCUUUUCUUUUAUUCCCCAAAUAGAGUCUCCUUCCCAACCUAUGCAUCUUAUCUCAUCCAAACAGAUUGGAAGAAAGAUUGUUAGUCUACUGUGGUCCGAGUUUCAGUGUGACGAGGCUGGCUCCCUCAACCACAAGGAAUUUGGGAGGAAUAUCCCCCUUUGGAUACAGCCAAACUGACCUGGAGAAGUGGGUGGAUCUGGGACACAGCUUGUCAGUCAUCUCUGGAAAUCAGCUGCAAGCAAGAUUGAUACCUCCAAGAAGAAAUGGGGAUUUACAAACUGGAUGACCCAAAACAGAAAGAGACGGCCCAUCUUCGGCCCAUCAAAUGAAGCUGUCAUGAUGCAGACAGGCCUCGGGGAAAACCACGCGUGUUAUCUAGGCAGCUAGGCCAUUAUGUCUGACAGCCGCACGUCCUGAAUUUUCUAGGUCAAACUCAAUUCCAAAUAUUCUUUCACCUUGUCAGACCAUGUAUCCCAAUUUUGCCUUUGGAAAAUGUGGCCACCAAAUCUUUCAGACACUAGAUCAACAUAUUCACUUAGGGGAUAGGACCAGUCUUAAUAAUAUUGAUGAAUAUGUUUUUUAAAAAAAUAAGCCUUUAAAAACAAGAGUGUAUAAAUUGAAGCCAUUGGAGACCUCCAGCAAGAGGGAAAUAAUGAUUUUAAGUCAGUGUCAGAGUUUCUGCUGCCCUGAGGAGCAUCUGUAAAGUCAGAUAGGGUGGGGUCCCCUUCCUGAUAGACGGAGGAGAGAAGCUUUGGAGCGGGGUUCUCAGAGCAGGAGUGUGGGCAACCCCUGAACUCGUAGCUCCACCCUGCUGGGCCAGAGGGGUUGAGCUGAGGGGCUGGGCAGGGCACUUAACCCUUAGACACAGGUUUGGGGAGGGAGACUAGGACUCCAUUAUAACACAAAGUUGGACCAGCUGAAAUCGACGACAGGCUAACCAUCUGCACACCAUGAUUGAAUGUCCAUCCCAGAGAGGGGUGAGGAGAAAUAAAGCAACUUGUUCCUAAGCAUUCUGAAGAAUACGCCAACGCCACCGCCACCGCCACUGCCACCGCCACCGUUCCAUGGCUCAACAAUGGAUACACUUAUGCUCAGAUGUCUGUGUUCCACGGAAUACCUCCAUUCGUGUUUGUGAAGAGUCUGGUAUUGUUUUCGGUUUCUAAUUACUGUUCCUUUUUCAAAUUCCAAACCUCAUUUUGGCUGAAAAAGAGGAGAUAAUGUUUUUCUUCUCCUUGGAUAAGCUUGGGUAUAAAAGAAAGUUUGUGGCGUGGCAAUGAGUUUGAUAAGCACAGGGGGCUGGGGGAUGCAAGUAACUGUGCGUGCAUGUGUGUGUGUGUGUCUGCAUGCGUGUGUGUGCAUGUGUGUAUUUUGCAUGCACGUUGGCGGGAGGCACACAGAAGUUCAUGCGGUAAGGGUCAAGGGUGCUGCGGAUGUCAGCACCUUCCCCUUCCAGUUUCCAUCAGGGGCAGCUUUCAUAUGUCAGCCCCUCCCCAGCUCUCCUACAUGGUCCUCUGAGCAGUGAAUCUCAAAAUCCUUUCAACUCAUGGAGAAGGUAAGCAAUUUAUGGGAAGCACCAGUCCUUGGACACACUCAGUCCACUUGUCUUUAGAUAAAUAUAAAGCUAAACUUUUCAUAGCUCAGCAGUUAACGAACCCAUGAACCCAUCUAGUAUCCAUGAGGACUUGAGCUCAAUCCCUGGCCUCGCCCAGUGGGUUAGGAUCCAGUGUUGCCAUGAGCUGUGAUGUAGGCCAGCAGGUGCAGCUCCAAUUCAACCCCUGGCCUGAGAACCUCCAUAUGUUGCAGGUACAGCCCUGAAAAGACAAAAACAAAAACAAAACAAAACAAAAAACCUAACCUUUUCUGAGGACGUGAUCAUUUUUAUUUGUUAAAAUUUCUAUAGGAAGAAAAUCCACCAGUGAUUUCAGUGUCUUGAUUUCUCAAUAAGAAAGUGUUUAGUGCCUUUGGCUACCUUCUUACUGUAACCCACCCCCAUGGCCUCUGAAAGGCUAUAGGGAGGCUUUGUGAAAAUUAGAAAAAUGUGUCUCUUCCUCCCCAGGGUGCAGCCUCGGGCGAGGAACCAGGCUUGAGGGGGAAAGGCAAGCUGUAAGCCAAGAAUGCCUGGUGGUGCCCUUGUGGGGCCACAUGCUGCAGCCUGCCCACACACAGCCUUCUGCACUGGUCUCAGGGCUGAGGGCAUAAGCAACUGCUCAUGAUCCAUGCUUUAGGCAUUUGUAAGAAAAUGCCCCAAAUCUGAAGUGAUUUAAAGAUAGAAUGAGAGGAGUUCCUGUUGUGGCUCAGUGGAAACGAAUCUGACUAGCAUCCAUGAAGAUGCAGGUUCGAUCCCUGGCCUCAAUCGUGGGUUAAGGAUCUGGCAUUGUCGUGAGCUGUGUGUAGGUCACAGAAUUGGCUCGGAUCCCACAUUGCUGUGGCUGUGGUGUAAGCCGCAGCUGCCACAGCUCCGAUUUGACCCCUAGCCUGGGAACCUCUAUAUGCCAUAGGUGAGGCC
rnacentral:lncRNA from 1 species